AGAGUUUGAUCCUGGCUCAGGAUGAACGCUAGCUACAGGCUUAACACAUGCAAGUCGAGGGGCAGCAUUGGGGUAGCAAUACUCAGAUGGCGACCGGCGCACGGGUGAGUAACACGUAUCCAACCUGCCGCUUACUCGGGGAUAGCCUUUUCGAAAGAAAGAUUAAUACCCGAUGGUAUAAAGAGUUCGCAUGUUCUCUUUAUUAAAGAAUUUCGGUAAGCGAUGGGGAUGCGUUCCAUUAGAUAGUUGGCGGGGUAACGGCCCACCAAGUCUACGAUGGAUAGGGGUUCUGAGAGGAAGGUCCCCCACAUUGGAACUGAGACACGGUCCAAACUCCUACGGGAGGCAGCAGUGAGGAAUAUUGGUCAAUGGACGAGAGUCUGAACCAGCCAAGUAGCGUGAAGGAUGACUGCCCUAUGGGUUGUAAACUUCUUUUAUAAGGGAAUAAAGUGAGGGACGUGUCCCUUUUUGUAUGUACCUUAUGAAUAAGGAUCGGCUAACUCCGUGCCAGCAGCUGC
rnacentral:rRNA from 1 species